CCUGAGUACGACGGAGCACGUGAAAUUCCGUCGGAAUCUGGGAGGACCAUCUCCUAAGGCUAAAUACUCUCUAGUGACCGAUAGUGAACCAGUACCGUGAGGGAAAGGUGAAAAGUACCCCGGAAGGGGAGUGAAAGAGAACUUGAAACCGUGUGCUUACAAGUAGUCAGAGCCCGUUAAUGGGUGAUGGCGUGCCUUUUGUAGAAUGAACCGGCGAGUUACGAUCUGAUGCAAGGUUAAGCAGAAAAUGUGGAGCCGUAGCGAAAGCGAGUCUGAAUAGGGCGAAUGAGUAUUUGGUCGUAGACCCGAAACCAGGUGAUCUACCCUUGGUCAGGUUGAAGUUCAGGUAACACUGAAUGGAGGACCGAACCGACUUACGUUGAAAAGUGAGCGGAUGAACUGAGGGUAGCGGAGAAAUUCCAAUCGAACUUGGAGAUAGCUGGUUCUCUCCGAAAUAGCUUUAGGGCUAGCCUCAAGUGAUGAUUAUUGGAGGUAGAGCACUGUUUGGACGAGGGGCCCCUCUCGGGUUACCGAAUUCAGACAAACUCCGAAUGCCAAAUAAUUUAACUUGGGAGUCAGAAUGUGGGUGAUAAGGUCCAUAUUCGAAAGGGAAACAGCCCAGACCACCAGCUAAGGUCCCAAAAUAUAUGUUAAGUGGAAAAGGAUGUGGCGUUGCCCAGACAACUAGGAUGUUGGCUUAGAAGCAGCCAUCAUUUAAAGAGUGCGUAAUAGCUCACUAGUCGAGUGACACUGCGCCGAAAAUGUACCGGGGCUAAACAUAUUACCGAAGCUGUGGAUUGUCCUUUGGACAAUGGUAGGAGAGCGUUCUAAGGGCGUUGAAGCAUGAUCGCAAGGACAUGUGGAGCGCUUAGAAGUGAGAAUGCCGGUGUGAGUAGCGAAAGACGGGUGAGAAUCCCGUCCACCGAUUGACUAAGGUUUCCAGAGGAAGGCUCGUCCGCUCUGGGUUAGUCGGGUCCUAAGCUGAGGCCGACAGGCGUAGGCGAUGGAUAACAGGUUGAUAUUCCUGUACCACCAUUAUUCGUUUUAAGCGAUGGGGGGACGCAGUAGGAUAGGCGAAGCGUGCUGUUGGAGUGCACGUCCAAGCAGUGAGAUUGAGUGUUAGGCAAAUCCGGCACUCUUAAGAUUGAGCUGUGAUGGGGAGAGGAACUUGUUCCUCGAGUCGUUGAUUUCACACUGCCGAGAAAAGCCUCUAGCUAGAAUAACGGUGCCCGUACCGCAAACCGACACAGGUAGUCAAGAUGAGAAUUCUAAGGUGAGCGAGCGAACUCUCGUUAAGGAACUCGGCAAAAUGACCCCGUAACUUCGGGAGAAGGGGUGCUCUUUGAGGUUCACGCUUCGAAGAGCCGCAGUGAAUAGGCCCAAGCGACUGUUUAUCAAAAACACAGGUCUCUGCUAAACCGUAAGGUGACGUAUAGGGGCUGACGCCUGCCCGGUGCUGGAAGGUUAAGAGGAGUGGUUAGCGCAAGCGAAGCUACGAAUCGAAGCCCCAGUAAACGGCGGCCGUAACUAUAACGGUCCUAAGGUAGCGAAAUUCCUUGUCGGGUAAGUUCCGACCCGCACGAAAGGCGUAACGAUUUGGGCACUGUCUCAACGAGAGACUCGGUGAAAUCAUAGUACCGGUGAAGAUGCCGGUUACCCGCGACAGGACGGAAAGACCCCGUGGAGCUUUACUGUAGCCUGAUAUUGAAAUUCGGUACAGUUUGUACAGGAUAGGUAGGAGCCUUAGAAGCGUGAGCGCUAGCUUACGUGGAGGCAUUGGUGGGAUACUACCCUAAUUGUAUUGGAUUUCUAACCCGCAGCACUUAUCGUGCUGGGAGACAGUGUCAGGCGGGCAGUUUGACUGGGGCGGUCGCCUCCUAAAGAGUAACGGAGGCGCUCAAAGGUUCCCUCAGAAUGGUUGGAAAUCAUUCAUAGAGUGUAAAGGCAUAAGGGAGCUUGACUGCGAGACCUACAAGUCGAGCAGGGUCGAAAGACGGACUUAGUGAUCCGGUGGUUCCGCAUGGAAGGGCCAUCGCUCAACGGAUAAAAGCUACCCCGGGGAUAACAGGCUUAUCUCCCCCAAGAGUUCACAUCGACGGGGAGGUUUGGCACCUCGAUGUCGGCUCAUCGCAUCCUGGGGCUGUAGUCGGUCCCAAGGGUUGGGCUGUUCGCCCAUUAAAGCGGUACGCGAGCUGGGUUCAGAACGUCGUGAGACAGUUCGGUCCCUAUCCGUCGUGGGCGUAGGAAAUUUGAGAGGAGCUGUCCUUAGUACGAGAGGACCGGGAUGGACAUACCUCUGGUGUACCAGUUGUCGUGCCAACGGCAUAGCUGGGUAGCUAUGUAUGGACGGGAUAAGUGCUGAAAGCAUCUAAGCAUGAAGCCCCCCUCGAGAUGAGAUUUCCCAACUUCGGUUAUAAG
rnacentral:rRNA from 1 species